rnacentral:rRNA from 1 species
GACGAACGCUGGCGGCGUGCUUAACACAUGCAAGUCGAACGGAAAGAGAUGAAAGAGCUUGCUCUUUUAUUAAUUUCAGUGGCAAACGGGUGAGUAACACGUAAACAACCUGCCUUAAGGAUGGGGAUAACAGACGGAAACGACUGCUAAUACCGAAUACGUUCUAAGCAUCGCAUGGUGCAUAGAAGAAAGGGUGGCCUCUACAAGAAAGCUAUCGCCUUAAGAGGGGUUUGCGACUGAUUAGGUAGUUGGUGAGGUAACGGCUCACCAAGCCGACGAUCAGUAGCCGGUCUGAGAGGAUGAACGGCCAUACUGGAACUGAGACACGGUCCAGACUCCUACGGGAGGCAGCAGUGGGGAAUCUUCCGCAAUGGACGAAAGUCUGACGGAGCAACGCCGCGUGAACGAAGAAGGUCUUCGGAUUGUAAAGUUCUGUGAUUCGGGACGAAAGGGCAAAUAGUGAAUAACUAUAGA